UCCUUAGUUACUCCGCCUGCGUCCACGGCCUCCUCUCCAUCGAAGAUCACCUGCAGGACGGAGGAAGACGAUGAGAAGAGGUUUGUGGAAAAGCUAAGCAGAGGUAACAUGGAUACAGAUGAGGGUGCUGACGCAACAUAUUGAGAGCUGGAGGUGAUCUCUGCUGACACUGCUGGCAAGAGGCACGGUACAAUCCGGAGAGGUCGCCAGCGUAACACAGGGCCAACAUACAGAGAGAAACAACCGCUGGAAAGAAGCCGGAGUACCCAGAGAAAACCCACGCAAACACUGGGGG